CUCCUCCUCCCCGCGUCUCUCUCCCUCUUCUCUGCAACUCCGGCCACCUCUUGAUUCCGGCCACCUGGGAACGAACAAGUGCCACCGCUGGACUCCUCUACUCCUACCCAACCUCCCCACGGCGAUAACUCACGGCGGUUUGGACGGAAAAUGAAGAAUCAAGCCCGAAAACUUUACUGUAGCAAUUUGAGUCAACGCCGAUUUCUCUCGAUUCCGGCCAUCUCCAGCCACCAAACCGGCGUCGAAGGUUCGGUUUUUGACAAGGAUCAUUUUCCCCCUAGCCUUGAGCCACGAUUUGCAGUGUAGAGGAAGAAUCGACGAUUGGAAGAUUACGGUCACUAUUCACAGUUUGAGUUCAAGCUUCUCUUUAAUUGUUGAGGGUAAUGUUGCGAGCUACGGCUAGAUGAAGGGACUCGUUUGCGUGGUCGCCAACUAGUACUUUUGCAGGCGUUAUUAGUUGAGGUCGGGCGUACAUGGUUCGAGGCAUAGUUGACGAAUAGCUUCCGCACUUCUUUGUUUGGCUCUGAUCUAUUGUGGGUUACUAUUUUUGGGUAGUCCACUUUAGGGGUGACUCGACCAGUUCUCGGUAGAGUUAUCUCUAAGGUGGGCCCCGCAGGGCCACCUCGGAUUUCAAGGUGAAAUUCGGGGCGGGUCCUGUCAAUUUGGUAUCAGAGCA